rnacentral:lncRNA from 1 species
AGCUCCCCUCCACCGCCGGUCUACAAAUAUAAGUCGCCACCACCUCCUGUGUACCACGCCCCGGCUCCUGUUUACAAGUACAAGUCACCUCCUCCCCCCGUCUACCACUACAGCUCGCCACCACCGCCGGUUUACAAGUACAAGUCACCACCACCACCUGUGUACCACGCCCCGGCACCAGUUUACAAGUACAACUCGCCACCACCCCCAGUUUACAAGUACAGCUCGCCACCACCACCUGUUUACAAAUACAAGUCGCCACCACCACCUGUGUACCACACCCCGGCUCCUGUUUACAAGUACGAGUCGCCUCCUCCGCCGGUGUACAAGUACAGCUCCCCGCCGCCACCGGUCUACAAAUAUAAGUCGCCACCACCACCUGUGUACCACGUCCCAGCGCCGGUUUACAAGUACGAAUCUCCUCCGCCACCGGUGUACAAGUACAG